rnacentral:rRNA from 1 species
UGAAUACGAGACGCUAAGGCGUUGAAGUAGUGUAUGUCAUACUUCCAAGAAAAGCUUGCACUGUCAUAGAUAAAAAACGCCUGUACCAUAACCGACACAGGUGGGUAGGUAGAGUAUACUAAGGGGCGCGAGAUAACUCUCUCUAAGGAACCCGGCAAAAUAACUCCGUAACUUCGGGAGAAGGAGUGCCUUAUUUAUAAGGCUGCAAUAACAAGAUCCAAGCAACUGUUUAUCAAAAACACAGGUCUCCGCUAAGUCGUAAGACGAUGUAUGGGGGCUGACGCCUGCCCAGUGCCAGAAGGUUAAAGAAGUUGGUUAGCAAUAGCGAAGCUGAUAACUGAAGCCCUGGUGAACGGCGGCCGUAACGAUAACGGUCCUAAGGUAGCGAAAUUCCUUGUCGGGUAAGUUCCGACUCGCACGAAAGGCGUAAUGAUUUGGAUACUGUCUCGGAGAGGGGCUCGGUGAAAUAGACUUGUCUGUGAAGAUGCGGACUACCUGCACCAGGACAGAAAGACCCUAUGAAGCUUUACUGUAACUUGAAAUUGAAAUUGGACUUUAUUCGCGCAGUAUAGGUGGGAGGCGUUGAUUGUAAUCUUGCGGGAUUAUUGGAGCCAUCAGUGAGAUACCACCCUUGUAAUGUUAGAUUUCUAACUUUGAAUCAUUAUCUGGUCAAAGAACAGUUUCAGGCGGGCAGUUUGACUGGGGCGGUCGCCUCCUAAACGGUAACGGAGGCGUACAAAGGUUUCCUCUGAACGGUUAGAAAUCGUAUCUAGAGUGUAAAGGCAUAAGGAAGCUUGACUGUGAGACCUACAAGUCGAGCAGGGACGAAAGUCGGUCUUAGUGAUCUGACGGUACUGAGUGGAAAGGCCGUCACUCAACGGAUAAAAGUUACUCUAGGGAUAACAGGCUGAUCUCCCCCAAGAGUUCACAUCGACGGGGAGGUUUGGCACCUCGAUGUCGGCUCAUCGCAUCCUGGGGCGGUAGUACGUCCCAAGGGUUGGGCUGUUCGCCCAUGAAAGCGGUACGCGAGCUGGGUUCAGAACGUCGUGAGACAGUUCGGUCCAUAUCCGGUGUAGGCGUUAGAAUAUUGAGAGGAGCCUUCUUUAGUACGAGAGGACCGAGAAGGACAUACCUCUGGUGUACCAGUUAUCGUGCCAACGGUAAACGCUGGGUAGCUAUGUAUGGAGUGGAUAACCGCUGAAAGCAUCUAAGUGGGAAGCCCACCUCAAGAUAAGUAUUCC